UACGAAGGGGGCUAGCGUUGCUCGGAAUCACUGGGCGUAAAGGGUGCGUAGGCGGGUCUUUAAGUCAGGGGUGAAAUCCUGGAGCUCAACUCCAGAACUGCCUUUGAUACUGAAGAUCUUGAGUUCGGGAGAGGUGAGUGGAACUGCGAGUGUAGAGGUGAAAUUCGUAGAUAUCGGGGAGGAACAUCAGUGGCGAAGGCGGCCUUCUGGUCCAGUACUGACACUCAAGUGCGAAAGCGUGGGGAGCAAACAGG
rnacentral:rRNA from 1 species